AUUGAACGCUGGCGGCAGGCCUAACACAUGCAAGUCGAGCGGAUGAAGGGAGCUUGCUCCUGGAUUCAGCGGCGGACGGGUGAGUAAUGCUUAGGAAUCUGCCUGGUAGUGGGGGAUAACGUCCGGAAACGGGCGCUAAUACCGCAUACGUCCUGAGGGAGAAAGUGGGGGAUCUUCGGACCUCACGCUAUCAGAUGAGCCUAGGUCGGAUUAGCUAGUUGGUGGGGUAAAGGCCUACCAAGGCGACGAUCCGUAACUGGUCUGAGAGGAUGAUCAGUCAAACGGGAACUGAGAAACGGUCCAGACUCCAAGGGGGGGCAACAGUGGGGAAUAUUGGGAAAGGGGCGAAAGCCUGCUCCAGCCAGGCCGGGGGUGUGAAAAAGGUCUUCGGAUUGUAAAGCACUUUAAGUUGGGAGGAAGGGCAGUAAGUUAAAACCUUGCUGUUUUGACGUUACAAACAGAAAAAGCACCGGCUAACUUCGU
rnacentral:rRNA from 1 species